rnacentral:rRNA from 1 species
AACGCUGGUUCCGUGCUUAAGGAUGCAAGUGGAGCGACNAACCAGGCUUCGGCCUGGGGCAGAUCNGCGAACGGGUGAGUAACAAGUGGGUAACCCACCCCGAUGACCGGGACAACCCGAGGAAACUCGGGCUAAUACCGGAUGUACUCCUCUCCCAUGAGGGAGUUGAGGAAAGAUAGCUUCGGCCUUCGCAUCGGGACGGGCCCGCGGCGCAUUAGCUUGUUGGUGGGGUAAAGGCCUACCAAGGCGACGAUGCGUAGCUGGUCUGAGAGGACGAUCAGCCACACUGGGACUGAGACACGGCCCAGACUCCUACGGGAGGCAGCAGUGG